UUGACCUCUCACCCAGAUAGCAAAAAUAUCCGCAGGACUUCUUUUUGCCGCCAGCCCUAAGCUGUCGGCUAUAGGUGCGUCCCGCUGGCGGGGAUGAAACGUUUGCCGCCGAAUACGUCACUCCCCUUUCUUGCUUAAUUUAUGCAAAAGCGGCUGCCGCCGGCGGUCCGCCGUCAGACCUGUUUGCGAUUACGCCCUUAUGACGCUUACUGCCUCCAGAGCACCGCCGGUGGUCCGCCGACCUGGGCAGGUGCUGAAGCAGAGAUUUGAGGUCUUCCUCCUGUGCACAUUCUCAUGCAUUUGCUCCCUGUCUUGCUCUGGAUGUAGCGUGUUGUGGCCAAAACAUCCAAGCUGUAUUAUGAGACUGUUUAUUUGUCCCAUAAUGCACAACAAUAAGGUGAGUGUUGUAAAUGAUGCCAUCUAGCGACUGCAGCAAACAAGAAAUGAUCAGCAACAUUACAGAGAGUUACAAAAAAUACUUGGGGCUACAAGACCAUCGGAAAGCAACUUUGUGAGAGGGUGAUAACAGCUGGAGUGAUUGUUCGCCAGUGGAAGAAACACAAAAUAGUCGUCAAUCUAGUCUGCAAGAUCUCAAGAGUUUCAAUGUCCAUGAGAACGGUAAGGAAUCAGGAGGAUCUUGUCAAUAAUCUCAAAGCAGUUGGGACGAGAGUCACCAAGAAAACACACUACACCGUGAAGGACUGUUACCCUGCAAGGCCCGCAAGGUCCCCCCUGCUCAAGAAAGCACAUGAACAUGAACAUCUGAAUGAUUCAGAGGAGAACUGGGUGAAAGUGUUGUGGUCAGAUGAGCUCUUUGGCAUCAACUCAACUCACCGUGUUUGGAGGAGGAGGAGGAGGAGGUAAGCUGCCUAUGACCCAAAGAACACCGUGAAACAUGGAGGUGGAAACAUUAUAUUUGUGGGUGUUGUUCUGCUGAGUGGACAGAACAACUAUAUCGCAUCAACGGGACGAUAGACAGUGCAUGAACCAUAAAAAUCGUGGGUGAGAACCUCAUUCUCUCAGCCAGGGCAUUGAAAAUGGGUCGUGGACAGGCAUGACAAUGACCCAAAAACACACAGCCAAAUGUGCUCAAGAAGGUCCUGGAGAGGCCUACCCAAUAGGUCUAUAAUUUCUCGCUGUCUGGAAUAUGUCACUUAGACUUCACUCCAUCCUCACCUGUGACAGGUAACACAUGCCUUGACUCCUGAAGUGCCUGCUGGACUAUAGUGUUUCUGAGCCGGCCUGAGGGGGCGUUUUAAUCCCAUAUAAGGACUGAUUGUUACCAAACUCCUGUUUAACAAUUCAUGUAGGACACAAGUGCCAAGUGUUGGUGUGUAUGUCUCUAAGGCCAAAGCAAGACAUGCUAAUACCUGAGAUAAGAGGACAUGUAUCCCUCAGUGAAGGGUGACCAGAGACAGCAGGGUGAGAGGCUGACAGAAUCAACACUAUCAACCGACAAGACUCAUCUGAUAUGGACACGAUGAUCAGCAUGUAUUUGGAACUUGAACUGCUUUACCAACAGAAACAACGUACAACUGACCUGUGCUGCUUUUGCCACCUGGAAAAACACUGAAGAGGAGAAAACGAGAAAAAAAAGACAAAAAUAAGCUUUUUGGAGGGAUAAAUUUUUCCACAGAUGCAUCCACUAUCUUCACAUUCCUCUGCUCAAUCUCGCAAACGUUUUGGAUAA